rnacentral:lncRNA from 1 species
AUGAGGGGGAGGACAGGGGUAAGGGAGACAGGGAGAAAGGGGGUAGGAGAAAGGAGAAAGGGGGUGGGAGAAAGGAGAAAGGGGGUAGGAGAAAGGAGGAAGGCUGGGAGAAAGGAGAAAAAGUUGGAGAAAGGAGAAAAAUAAAAUAUCUCUCCUUUUAAAAAAAUUUCUAAUAUUUCAAGAAAAAAUAUCUCAAAAGGAGAUGUUUUAUUCUAUUGGGAGAAAGGAGAACGGGGUAGGAGAAAGGAGAAGAGGGGUGGGAGAAGGGAGAAGGGUACCCCCCUGUCCUCCCCCUCCACUAUGUUAGAACUGU